UGUGUGGGAAAAUCGGGUUCUUACAAAAACAAUGCUUCCAUGCAUAUUUUAAUAUUAAUAGCUGGCUUAUGAACUAUGAAUUUCAUAUUUAUAAAAUUUAUAUUUUUUUAAUGAAAAGUAUGUUUAUAUGAGUUUUUUCCUAUUAAUGAUAUAUAAAUCCUAUUUUUGUAUGUAUAUUUUAAGAAAAUACAUUUUAAGAACA
rnacentral:lncRNA from 1 species